UACGUAGGGGGCAAGCGUUGUCCGGAUUCAUUGGGCGUAAAGAGCGUGUAGGCGGCCAGGCAGGUCGGUUGUGAAAACUGGAGGCUCAACCUUCAGAGGUCGACCGAAACUAUCUGGCUAGAGUCCGGGAGAGGAGAGUGGAAUUCCUGGUGUAGCGGUGAAAUGCGCAGAUAUCAGGAAGAACACCCGUGGCGAAAGCGGCUCUCUGGAACGGGACUGACGCUGAGACGCGAAAGCGUGGGGAGCGAACAGG
rnacentral:rRNA from 1 species